GACGAACGCUGGCGGCGUGCCUAAUACAUGCAAGUAGAACGCUGAAGAGAGGAGCUUGCUCUUCUUGGAUGAGUUGCGAACGGGUGAGUAACGCGUAGGUAACCUGCCUUGUAGCGGGGGAUAACUAUUGGAAACGAUAGCUAAUACCGCAUAACAAUGGAUGACACAUGUCAUUUAUUUGAAAGGGGCAAUUGCUCCACUACAAGAUGGACCUGCGUUGUAUUAGCUAGUAGGUGAGGUAAUGGCUCACCUAGGCGACGAUACAUAGCCGACCUGAGAGGGUGGUCGGCCACACUGGGACUGAGACACGGCCCAGACUCCUACGGGAGGCAGCAGUAGGGAAUCUUCGGCAAUGGGGGCAACCCUGACCGAGAAACGCCGCGUGAGUGAAGAAGGGUUUCGGAUCGGAAAGCUCGGUUGUAAGUCAAGAACGGGUGUGAGAGUGGAAAGUUCACACUGUGACGGUAGCUGACCAGAAAGGGACGGCUAACUACGUG
rnacentral:rRNA from 1 species